GAUGAACGCUAGCUACAGGCUUAACACAUGCAAGUCGAGGGCAGCAUGAACUUAGCUUGCUAAGUUUGAUGGCGACCGGCGCACGGGUGAGUAACACGUAUCCAACCUGCCGAUGACUCGGGGAUAGCCUUUCGAAAGAAAGAUUAAUACCCGAUGGCAUAGUUCUUCCGCAUGGUAGAACUAUUAAAGAAUUUCGGUCAUCGAUGGGGAUGCGUUCCAUUAGGUUGUUGGCGGGGUAACGGCCCACCAAGCCUUCGAUGGAUAGGGGUUCUGAGAGGAAGGUCCCCCCACAUUGGAACUGAGACACGGUCCAAACUCCUACGGGAGGCAGCAGUGAGGAAUAUUGGUCAAUGGACGAGAGUCUGAACCAGCCAAGUAGCGUGAAGGAUGACUGCCCUAUGGUUGUAAACUUCUUUUAUACGGGAUAAAGUGAGGCACGUGUGCCUUUUUGUAUGUACCGUAU
rnacentral:rRNA from 1 species